GACGAACGCUGGCGGCGUGCCUAAUACAUGCAAGUAGAACGCUGAAGAAAGGAGCUUGCUUCUUUUGGAUGAGUUGCGAACGGGUGAGUAACGCGUAGGUAACCUGCCUUGUAGCGGGGGAUAACUAUUGGAAACGAUAGCUAAUACCGCAUAACAGCUUUUGACACAUGUUAGAAGCUUGAAAGAUGCAAUUGCAUCACUACGAGAUGGGCCUGCGUUGUAUUAGCUAGUAGGUAGGGUAACGGCCUACCUAGGCGACGAUACAUAGCCGACCGGAGAGGGUGAUCGGCCACACUGGGACUGAGACACGGCCCAGACUCCUACGGGAGGCAGCAGUAGGGAAUCUUCGGCAAUGGGGGCAACCCUGACCGAGCAACGCCGCGUGAGUGAAGAAGGUUUUCGGAUCGUAAAGCUCUGUUGUAAGAGAAGAACGUGUGUGAGAGUGGAAAGUUCACACAGUGACGGUAACUUACCAGAAAGGGACGGCUAACUACGUGCCAGCCGCCGCCGUAAAAC
rnacentral:rRNA from 1 species